rnacentral:rRNA from 1 species
UACGUAGGUGGCAAGCGUUGUCCGGAAUUAUUGGGCGUAAAGCGCGCGCAGGCGGUCCUUUAAGUCUGAUGUGAAAGCCCACGGCUCAACCGUGGGAGGGUCAUUGGAAACUGGGGGGACUUGAGUGCAGAAGAGGAAAGUGGAAUUCCAAGUGUAGCGGUGAAAUGCGUAGAGAUUUGGAAGGAACACCAGUGGCGAAGGCGA